rnacentral:rRNA from 1 species
AACGAACGCUGGCGGCAUGCCUAACACAUGCAAGUCGAACGAGACCUUCGGGUCUAGUGGCGCACGGGUGCGUAACGCGUGGGAACCUGCCCUUAGGUUCGGAAUAACUCCCCGAAAGGGGUGCUAAUACCGGAUAAUGUCUUCGGACCAAAGAUUUAUCGCCUUUGGAUGGGCCCGCGUUGGAUUAGCUAGUUGGUAGGGUAAAAGCCUACCAAGGCGACGAUCCAUAGCUGGUCUGAGAGGAUGAUCAGCCACACUGGGACUGAGACACGGCCCAGACUCCUACGGGAGGCAGCAGUGGGGAAUAGUGGACAAUGGGCGAAAGCCUGAUCCAGCAAUGCCGGGUGAGUGAUGAAGGCCUUAGGGUUGUAAAGCUCUUUUACCCGGGAUGAUAAUGACAGUACCGGGAGAAUAAGCGCCGGCUAACUCCGUG